rnacentral:rRNA from 1 species
AGGAUGAACGCUGGCGGCGUGCUUAACACAUGCAAGUCGAGCGGAAAGGCCCUUCGGGGUACUCGAGCGGCGAACGGGUGAGUAACACGUGAGUAACCUGCCCCUAGCUCUGGGAUAGCUCCGGGAAACCGGGAUUAAUACCAGAUACGACCACUUUAGACAUCUGUCGUGGUGGAAAGGAUUCCGGCUAGGGAUGGGCUCGCGGCCUAUCAGCUUGUUGGUGGGGUAACGGCCUACCAAGGCGACGACGGGUAGCCGGCCUGAGAGGGCGACCGGCCACACUGGGACUGAGACACGGCCCAGACUCCUACGGGAGGCAGCAGUGGGGAAUAUUGCGCAAUGGGCGAAAGCCUGACGCAGCGACGCCGCGUGGGGGAUGAAGGCCUUCGGGUUGUAAACCCCUUUCAGCAGGGACGAAGCGAAAGUGACGGUACCUGCAGAAGAAGCGCCGGCUAACUACGCGCCAGCAGCCGC